AAAUUUUGGUGGAGAAGUAAGGAGGGCCAUAGAAAACCCAACUGGGUUUCUUGGGAUACUCUGACAUGGCCCAAGUACAUGGGAGGUUUGGACUUCAAGGAUUUUGAUUUGUUCAAUUUGGCUUUGCUAGCAAAAGAGGCGUGGAGUGUAGUACAAAUGCCAGAUUCUCUCAGCACAAGAAUUUUAAAGGCUGCCUAUUUUCCUUGUUCAAUUCUUGAUGCAAACCUCGGUAACCAUCCUAGUCAGAUCUGGAGAGGAUCUGGAGAGGGGCAUGAUGUUCUAAAACAGGGAUUGAUUAGGAGAAUUGGCAACGGAGCAUCAACUAAUAUAUGGAGAGACAAAUGGACUCUGAGUGACGUGUUGAGUACCUUUGGAUGUAUGUCAGGCAAUCCUCCUAUAUAUGUGUCUGAACUCAUUGAUCAAACUUCAGCUAGAUGGGACAAGGAGAAAGUUGCCGAGGUUUGCCUACUGAUCGACGUGCCAGCCAUUCUCAGCAUACCUUUAUGUACAACAAAUAUUGAUCAUAGUUGGUCGUGGAAUUUUGAAAAAAAAGAAAAAAAUAUGUUCGAUCAGUCUAUAAGAUGA
rnacentral:rRNA from 1 species